CCAACCAUGAUGAACUUCUCUACUGAUAGCUUUGCAAGUCUCGUUCUGAGACGUGCGAAGCUUUUUCCAAGGAUGACAUCCGAGGCAUUUGUCUGAUUUUGAG
rfam:Culex pipiens quinquefasciatus supercont3.175 genomic scaffold, whole genome shotgun sequence.